rnacentral:rRNA from 2 species
CCUUUACUAUAGCUUGACACUGAACAUUGAGCCUUGAUGUGUAGGAUAGGUGGGAGGCUUUGAAGCGUGGACGCCAGUCUGCGUGGAGCCGACCUUGAAAUACCACCCUUUAAUGUUUGAUGUUCUAACGUGGACCCGUAAUCCGGGUUGCGGACAGUGUCUGGUGGGUAGUUUGACUGGGGCGGUCUCCUCCUAAAGAGUAACGGAGGAGCACGAAGGUUGGCUAAUCCUGGUCGGACAUCAGGAGGUUAGUGCAAUGGCAUAAGCCAGCUUGACUGCGAGCGUGACGGCGCGAGCAGGUGCGAAAGCAGGUCAUAGUGAUCCGGUGGUUCUGAAUGGAAGGGCCAUCGCUCAACGGAUAAAAGGUACUCCGGGGAUAACAGGCUGAUACCGCCCAAGAGUUCAUAUCGACGGCGGUGUUUGGCACCUCGAUGUCGGCUCAUCACAUCCUGGGGCUGAAGUAGGUCCCAAGGGUAUGGCUGUUCGCCAUUUAAAGUGGUACGCGAGCUGGGUUUAGAACGUCGUGAGACAGUUCGGUCCCUAUCUGCCGUGGGCGCUGGAGAACUGAGGGGGGCUGCUCCUAGUACGAGAGGACCGGAGUGGACGCAUCACUGGUGUUCGGGUUGUCAUGCCAAUGGCACUGCCCGGUAGCUAAAUGCGGAAGAGAUAAGUGCUGAAAGCAUCUAAGCACGAAACUUGCCCCGA